UACAAAAAUUUAUUGCACAAUUUUUUCACUGUUGCCGAAAUGUAUCGUAAUUGUUUUUCGUAAAUUGUAAAUCUUUUCAGAACAAUGGCAAAAAUUUAUUUUUAUAUGCGGGUAGAGAAAUAUUUAAAAAACGUUAAUCCUCCGCAAAAAAAUUGACGUUCCACAAAAUAUGUUAGAAAAGGUAUGAAACUAUUUCAUUACAAGAAAAUUUUACAUGUUACAUCACAAAUAUGAUUUUCGAAAGUGGUACAGAACUCACUGAUAUGGAUACUGAUAACAGAUUUUCUAUUUCAAAUAAAAAUUUGAGCAUAUCAAAAACCAUGGACAAAAAUCAAUCUACAGCAUACGUAAUAUCUAGUUCGCCAACAAAUGAUUCUGAAGUAGUCUCAAACCUCAAACAAAUAAUAUUGAACAAUGAAUUAGAAGCUAAAGAAGAUGGAGAUGUUAUAUUAGACAAGUAUGAUCUUAAUACUGUUUUAAUAAAAAAUAGUCCAGGGACAAGUCAGCAAA